GGGAAUGUGGCUUAGUGGUAGAGUGCUUGCCUAGAAUGCACAAAGCCCUGGGUUCAAUUCCCCAGUACCA
rfam:Dipodomys ordii contig_10173, whole genome shotgun sequence.